AAGUCGUAACUAAGGUUUCCGUAGUGAACCUGCGGAAGGAUCAUUAGUGAUUAGAAACGUUGUCUUCUGUGCUGGCUGCGGCAAGUGCACGUUGAUAACUUUCAUCCAAACCCCCUUGUGAACCUUUGGCCUCUUGCUAGCUUCGGCUGGCUGAGGAUUUUACACAAACUCGCAUGUAUUGAAGUCCCUUUACUUAUGUGCACAAGCACUACUAUACAACUUUCAACAACGGAUCCCUUGGCUCUCGCAUCGAUGAAGAACGCAGCGAAAUGCGAUAAGUAAUGUGAAUUGCAGAAUUCAGUGAAUCAUCGAAUCUUUGAACGCACCUUGCACCCUUUGGCAUUCCGAAGGUAUGCUCGUUUGAGUGUCAUUGUACUCUCACACUCCCAAACAUUUGGAUUGGGAGCGGUGGACUUGGGUGCUGCUGCUUGACUGUGGCUCACCUGAAAUAUGUUAGUGCACCUCCUGAUUGGACAUAGUACGGCGUGAUAAGUGUCUUCGCUGGCUCCUCACAAGAGGGUGGCUGAUCAGGAGCUCUGUUGCUUCAACCGUCUUCGGACAAUUUCUGACACUUGACCUCAAAUCGAGUAAGACUCCCCGCUGAACUAA
rnacentral:rRNA from 1 species